UACAGAGGUCCCAAGCGUUACUGAGAAUCACUGGGUUUAAAGGGUGCGUAGGUGGCGCGUUAAGUCCGUUGUGAAAUCCCUGGGCUCAACCCAGGAAUUGCUUCGGAUACUGGCGUGCUUGAGGCCGGUAGGGGUCACUGGAACUGACGGUGGAGCGGUGAAAUGCGUAGAUAUCGUCAGGAACGCCGAUGGUGAAGACAGGUGACUGGGCCGGAACUGACACUGAGGCACGAAAGCGUGGGGAGCGAACGGGG
rnacentral:rRNA from 1 species